GACGAACGCUGGCGGCGUGCUUAACACAUGCAAGUCGUACGGUAAGGCCCUUUCGGGGGUACACGAGUGGCGAACGGGUGAGUAACACGUGAGUAACCUGCCCACAACUUUGGGAUAACGCUAGGAAACUGGUGCUAAUACUGGAUAUGUGCUCCUGCUGCAUGGUGGGGUUGGAAAGCUCCGGCGGUUGUGGAUGGACUCGCGGCCUAUCAGCUUGUUGGUGGGGUAGUGGCCUACCAAGGCGGCGACGGGUAGCCGGCCUGAGAGGGUGACCGGCCACAUUGGGACUGAGAUACGGCCCAGACUCCUACGGGAGGCAGCAGUGGGGAAUAUUGCACAAUGGGCGCAAGCCUGAUGCAGCAACGCCGCGUGCGGGAGGACGGCCUUCGGGUUGUAAACCGCUUUCAGCAGGGACGAAGCUUUUUGUGACGGUACCUGCAGAAGAAGCACCGGCUAACUACGUG
rnacentral:rRNA from 1 species